CUUUCUAAGGAUGAGCAUACAAAUACUUUCGUUCUACUUAUUUGCUUUACGCAAUGAGGAAAUCUACUUGGAGACCUGAACUGAAGAAAG
rfam:Physcomitrella patens subsp. patens PHYPAscaffold_13 genomic scaffold, whole genome shotgun sequence.